UUCGGGGUUAUUUUCAUCCCUUUUCGUUUAUCUACGUUUCAAGAUAGAGGUAUUUUAUAUUUUAUUAUUUAUCAAUUUGUGCAACGAAUUCUCAGCGAAUUGUAAUGACUAGAUUCAGGAAAUUCAAACUUUAUAGGACAGUUUUGCCUGACGAGUUGCGAACGACGAUCAAGCUACGCCCCCUUUGUGAUGUGACCCCAUUGUCUGCAAGGUCGUUAUUGGGGAAACUUUUUGUGAGUGCGGGUCGUUAACGAUCAUUAGUGACGCACCGAUUAGGAACCUUGAUCUUCGAUGUGGACAUUUGAUUUUGGUAAACUUGCUGCGUCACAGUUUUCAUUUCGGUUAUUCUUGGAUUUUUGCAGGACAUACCCGUGGCAGAUUGACCAAAGUAUUGUAAAAGAUAUUCUCAUCCAGCUUCAUCACACGGACAUUCCCGUGGCAGAUUGACCAAAGUAUUGUAAAAGAUAUUCUCAUCCAGCUUCAUCACACGGACAUUCCCGUGGCAGAUUGACCAAAGUAUUGUAAACAUAUUCUCACCCAGCUUCAUCACACGGUAAGCGAUUUUUGAUAUAGAAGAUCUCUUGGUGUUUUACUUUGUUUAUACUCAAAUUUUGUUUCGCGUUUCUUUAUAUAAAUACGUUGAAUGAAUUCUUAACGAAAAGCCAAGUGUUUAUUUAGAAAAAUUAAAUUUUUCAAUGCAGUUUUUUGUCUGUUGCGAAUGCCGGUGAAAUUACGCCUCCUCCUAACCCUUGCGAUUGAUUGAUUGCUUUCGCGAUAUUUUCUACAAAUUUUUGCUGCCCCUUUUUGUUUAAAUAUUCAUGCUACACCCUUAGUGACAAGAUUUAGUAGAGUUUUUGUAAACUUCAUGUUGCCCUCAUCGUGGUAUAGAAAUUUAAUAACUUUUUCAAUACAUUUUUCCAUCUAUUGCAAAUGCCGGUGAAGUUACGCCUCCCCUAACCCCUCACAGUUGAUUGAUUGCUUUUGCGAUAUUUUCAUGGAUUGGAAGGAAGCUGCCCCUUUUUGUCAAAAUAAUCAUUCUGCUCCUUUUUUGUACGUGUUUUUCUACCGCUUUUAGACCAA